rnacentral:rRNA from 1 species
GAUGAACGCUGGCGGCGUGCCUAAUACAUGCAAGUCGAGCGAACAGACGAGGAGCUUGCUCCUCUGACGUUAGCGGCGGACGGGUGAGUAACACGUGGAUAACCUACCUAUAAGACUGGGAUAACUUCGGGAAACCGGAGCUAAUACCGGAUAAUAUAUUGAACCGCAUGGUUCAAUAGUGAAAGACGGUUUUGCUGUCACUUAUAGAUGGAUCCGCGCCGCAUUAGCUAGUUGGUAAGGUAACGGCUUACCAAGGCAACGAUGCGUAGCCGACCUGAGAGGGUGAUCGGCCACACUAGAACUGAGACACGGUCCAGACUCCUACGGGAGGCAGCAGUAGGGAAUCUUCCGCAAUGGGCGAAAGCCUGACGGAGCAACGCCGCGUGAGUGAUGAAGGUCUUUGGAUCGUAAAACUCUGUUAUUAGGGAAGAACAAAUGUGUAAGUAACUAUGCACGUCUUGACGGUACCUAAUCAGAAAGCCACGGCUAACUACGUG